GAUAACGUUCAUAUCGAUAAGUUGGUGUGAACUUGACCUCAAAUGAUGCAUAAAAUUGUGAAAACUUUCAACUAAAUUCACGCAUAAAUAUGCGAAAUUUAACUCUAAUGUAUAAACUUUCACCAAACUUCACCGUGUUUAUAUUUAAACAAUGAUUUAGAUUCUGUAUGAAACAGUGUCUGAUUGUGAGGAAUAUUUGUUUUGACUUUUCGCUUAUAUUGAGACAGAUUGAGGCACGGACUCGACCAAACCGGUCAGCGGUCGCGACAAUAAUGCGAUCUCGUCUGCGUGUUCGUUUUAUACUUACUAACAUAUUUACAUUUACAUGGUCACCGCUUAUACUUGAACGUGAAUACAUUUGAGCCGUGCUUGGAUGCGCAAAAACAGAAAAAGUCCGAUUCGCGAGCUCGAUUACAAAUUGGAGGCCAGGAAGUACAGUUUACGCGCAUGAUUAUGGGAUUCAAGUUUACUGACGCAGUCAGUAUUACGAAUUUUGUUAAUGGCUGACGUCUUUCAGUCGCCAUAAAUGUGAUGCAUGCUAAUGACCAUCAACAAUGUUCGCACACUCACAUCUUUACAUGUGGACUCAAUUGAUAACGCCCGGAAUGAGAAACAAAGUAUUUCGAAUGCGUAAAUAUGGAAUACAUUUAUACAUUUAUAAUGAUCGUCGAUUUGCGGUUAUCGGUUCAUACAGUCUUAAGGACGCAAUCUGAAUUCAUUUCAUCAACACUUUCAACAGUGCCACACAUCAAUUACAUUGCAAUAACUUAUAAAACUAUAUUAUUGGAGCAAAAAAUUAUGUUUAGAGGCAGAUUAACUUAAAAUAAAGUGAUAUUGGGUAAAACGUGGGUAAAAUGUGCGCAGCCAUGACAGAAACUCCAUUUCUACUGAAAUCCGUUAACGAAUCAUGGGAAUGGGCGAAAAAUCCGCGUACUCAACAAAUGGUUAUCUCGAAUUGGCAAUGGAAUGUGCAUAAUAUUCAAUUUCGACCAGAUAACGACCCACAAGGGUACGCGGAUAGUGCAAAGCGUUUUGAACAUCCGUCACCUAUUGUCCCGGUUUUAGCCGUUGUGAUGUUAACAAUCACAGUAUUUCUGUUAAUACUUUUCCGGCAAAACCCCGGAUUGGUGGCGGGAACUGUAGCUGGAUGUUUGAUCAUCAUCAGUAUUUAUUUAACACUGAAUACUAUCAAGGAGAAUACGCUGACAUAUGAAUAAUUGAUAUUUUAGUUAUGUAGUCAUUUGAUAUUUUGUGUUCAUUCAACUGUUGUAAGUUGCAACAAAAUUAUUUGAAAUAAAUGAAAUUCGUGAUACUGUUACUUAUUAUCAUCGAAUAGAA